UGAAGUACUCCUACCCCCCCUCUAAUCCCGAAACCCUCGUUCGUCUCUAACGCCCAACCCUAGCCACCAGCUUACCCUCGCCGUCUCCGCCGUGGUUUGCCAGCCGAAAAUUGCAUCACGGUGGUGGAACACCUCCAAUCCACUCAAAAUUAGGACCCACAACCCUUGUCAUAUCCUCUUUCCACAUCUUUAACCCAUUUCCUUCGGAUCCCUCUCAAACUCCUCGAAUUUUAAAUCUGAAGUUCCAAUCCAAAAAAAUCAAAACCUCUCUAAAUUAAUUUAAAACUUCACCAGUUUAUCUCAUAACUACACUCACCCCUAAUACUCUACUGGUUUUUCCAAAAGAUCCCGCAAAAUCAGGCAAUUUUGGAUCAAAAUUGUGAAAAAGAAACAAAAAUUAAAGCCUUUACUGAGUUGAUUUUGGAAGUUCAAAUGGUUCAGACCUACACGGGUCAUCUUCUCUUAACUAGAGCAAUUGAUUCAUGUGAGUUUGAUUUAUUUUUGUUCAAAUUUCCAAACCAAUCCGAGCUCCGGCAGCAUUCCUUUUUUCCAACUUAUUUCUUACAUUUGGAAUAAGUAAUGUCUUGCUAUUUUUUUUCCUUUUGUUGGCCAUCAAUUUUCUCUUCUUAUUUGAUUGGUUUGUCGUGCAGUCGUUCUGAUUGUAAUUGCAUGUUUUAGGCCAUUUUUAUUUUAUUCAGAAUUAUUGCUUCCUUCUGCAUUUAGUCAUUGAAACUAGUCGGUAUUGUUAGUGUUGAUUUGUGUACAUUUUUCAAUUAAUAGUUGGUCAGUGUAUGUCUAAAUUUGUUAAGCUUGUGUUCAAUUGAUCCCAAUUAAACUCAUUAUGUUAAUUUUUUGUAGAGGACACUGUCAAUUUGUUCUAUAGCUUCAAAUUUUAGAAAAUAGUUUAUUAAUUGGUAAAUUUUGGUUUCAUGUUGGGUUCAAAUAUUUCUAUUUGGUUUCAUUUCUAGUUCCAGUUCAACUCUAAAAGAAUUUAAGUCUAAUCAAAGGCUUAAUUUAAUUAGGGUUUGAUUCCAUUUGAUCCUCUUUGCUUUUAUGUCGAGUUUUUGUAUUGAUUGCCUUAAUUUACAAAACAAUAGGAACUUAGGGGCCUAAUCGAAUUAUCACAACAUAGGGCAAAGGGGAAAUAGGCAGUAAUUAGAAUAGUAAAAAUGGAUUGUCACGUAGGAUAAUUUUAGAAUGUUCUAGUGUUUUAGGCAGUAGUCCCUUUCAGCAAAAAUAUAGGUAAUGGAUAAGUAAAAAGGACAAACAAUUGUAAAAUGUGUUAUACUAUCUAGAAAAGUUAAGAAUAUUAGGUUUAAUAUAUGCUUUUUGAUGCCUUUUUGUGCAUUUUAUAAAAGAAAACAUUCCCCUCAUUUAGAGGAAUAGAUUUCAACAUAAUUUUUACAGCAAAAAAAUUCUCUCUCCUUUAUGAAAAAGACAAGAAUUAAGUAAUUCUAGAAAAUUUCAGAACUUCUAGCCUUUGGUUUUCACAAUCUAAAAUGGUUUGAAAUAGAGGAUUUUCUUGGGUUCUCUAUCUGGGAUUCUAGUUUGAAAGCUGAUUAGAUUUGAUUCAAAUUUUGGGACCUAUUUGAUUUUUUGGGGCUGUGUUGGUUUACUGUUAUUGUUUCCUUUCUUCUCAAGUUCUCAGCAGUUUUUUUCAUCUUACUUGUUGUUUUUCUAUUGUUGUUCAAGGCAUACAUGUUCUUCAAUGUUUAAGUGUUUGUAAAUGGAGUUUUAAGAUAAAGGCAAGCUAUUCUUUCCUAUCGAUGUAAUAUAUCUUAAUUUUCUUGACAUGAUUUGUCAGUGAAGUUGUAAAAAUAUUGAAUAUCAUCUGUUAAAUAAGUUAUUGUUUGUCUAAUUGGUCUAUAUCAUGAAAAUAUUUUUCCUUGUAUGAGUCUAGCAUUGCUCAACUGUUUGCUCCAGUUAGUAUACACUUUUUGCAUUAGUCAUGUAGCAUGUUAGAUCCCUAUAUUUGAAGCUUUGUUUAUUCAUUAAGUCUAACCCUUACAUUCUCAGAUUCGUGGAUUAAGCUACCCGUCCUCCCGUUUAGUUCAUUCUGGCAGCAUAUCAGGUCUUAGGGUUUGAAGCCCUUGUUGGUUCAUGAGUUUAACCCUUAAUAUGGUCAAACCUAUGAAUCACACUUUUUUUGUUUCUUUUGUCUUUGCAUUGUUUGUUUGAGUUUGAUUUGAUAAUGCUGUAGGUUUAUAAUAUGAAGACAUUUUUGUGAAUCUAGCCCUUAACCAUGGUCAGAUUCAUGAGAAGUCAGAGUGAAAACCAACGCUGGUGUAUUAGUAGGAAGCCUUAGAGUUGGAGCUAAGUUUUAGUCUGUAAGCACAACUCCUUAGCUGAUUUUUCUUGCAAAACUAAAGCUGAUUCAAAGUAUUUUGGAAGAUUUUGAGUUAGGAAGAAUAUCCCCGCCCUUUUACCUUAAUUAUUCAAUUUUUAUUUAGACACAUUGCUAUAUUUAAUAGUGCUUUGUAAGUGUAUGGACUUUUGUUAAGUAAAUAGAUGGUAGGAAUUCUUUUUUUUAAUUCAAAACUUUCUAUUGUUGAUUCUCGUUUUAUAACCAUACCAUGUGAUUGUUGUUUUGUAAUAAAAACAGCCCACGAAAGAAAAUUGGGGUAGACUUGUAACAAGGCCUAAAUUUGAGAACCACCUAAGCAAGUCUGGGCCCAUGCGAAUUGGUCUAGGCAUUAAACUCAGUAAUUUGAUCUUUAGUUGUAAAAUUUCUCCUUUAAAUUCCA
rnacentral:lncRNA from 1 species